GUAGGGGUGCGAGCGUUAAUCGGAAUUACUGGGCGUAAAGCGUGCGCAGGCGGUUCGCUAAGACCGAUGUGAAAUACCCCCGGGGCUUUAACCUGGGGAACUGCAUUGGUGACUGGCGGGCUAGAGUAUGGCAGAGGGGGGUAGAAUUCCACGUGUAGCAGUGAAAUGCGUAGAGAUGUGGAGGAAUACCGAUGGCGAAGGCAGCCCCCCUGGGCCAAUACUGACGCUCAUGCACGAAAGCGUGGGGGAGCAAACAGGAUUAGAUACCCUGGUAGUCCACGCCCUAAACGAUGUCAACUAGUUGUCGGGUCUUCAUUGACUUGGUAACGUAGCUAACGCGUGAAGUUGACCGCCUGGGGAGUACGGUCGCAAGAUUA
rnacentral:rRNA from 1 species